rnacentral:rRNA from 1 species
UACGUAGGGGGCAAGCGUUGUCCGGAUUUAUUGGGCGUAAAGAGCGUGUAGGCGGUUUGGUAGGUCCGUUGUGAAAACUCGAGGCUCAACCUCGAGACGCCGAUGGAAACCAUCAGACUAGAGUCCGGAAGAGGAGAGUGGAAUUCCUGGUGUAGUGGUGAAAUGCGUAGAGAUCGGGAGGAACACCUGUGGCGAAGGCGGCCGGCUGGGGGUACCCUGACGCUGAGGCGCGACAGCGUGGGGAGCGAACCGG